AGUGGGGGAUAACAGUUCGAAAGGACUGCUAAUACCGCAUAAGAUCAAUGGGAUUAGAUGCCUGUUGAUUAAAGGCGAAAGUCGCUUUGGGAGGGGCCUGCGUCCCAUCAGCUUGUUGGUAGGGUAAUGGCCUACCAAGGCUAAGACGGGUAGGGGACCUGAGAGGGUGGCCCCCCACACUGGCACUGAAACACGGGCCAGACACCUACGGGUGGCAGCAGUAGGGAAUAUUGGACAAUGGGCGAAAGCCUGAUCCAGCAACGCCGCGUGCGCGAUGAAGGCCUUCGGGUUGUAAAGCGCUUUUAGGGGAGAUGAGAAAGGACAGUAUCCUCUGAAUAAGCCUCGGCGAACUACGUGCCAGCAGCCGCGGUAAAACGUAGGAGGCAAGCGUUAUCCGGAUUUAUUGGGCGUAAAGCGCGUGCAGGCGGUUUGAUAAGUUGGAUGUGAAAUCUCCCGGCUCAACUGGGAGCGGUCAUUCAAAACUAUCAGACUAGAGGAUGGGAGAGGGAGGUGGAAUUCCGGGUGUAGUGGUGAAAUACGUAGAUAUCCGGAGGAACACCAGUGGCGAAGGCGGCCUCCUAGACCAUUCCUGACGCUAAGACGCGAAAGCUAGGGGAGCAAACGGGAUUAGAGACCCCGGUAGUCCUAGCCGUAAACGAUGUAGACUUGGCGUUGGCGGAGUUAAAUCUGUCAGUGCCGGAGCUAACGCGUGAAGUCUACCGCCUGGGGACUACGACCGCAAGGUUAAAACUCAAAGGAAUUGACGGGGACCCGCACAAGCAGCGGAGCGUGUGGUUUAAUUCGAUGCUACACGAAGAACCUUA
rnacentral:rRNA from 1 species